CUCGCUUGCCGGUCCUUUCUUGCAGCAAUUUUAAUUCAUGUUCCUUGAAGUCGCGUUUAUAUUUGUGGCUUAUAUAUUUUUUUACCAGCUGUACAAUGAAAGUAUUAACACACGAACAGCUUGCAGAAUUUUUACCAGUGCUGGAGAAGGAUUUCCCUCGCAGUCUUCCGGUGUAUCAUGUUAUGCGCAAUGUUGUCCGUCAGCGCUUCGCCUGGCCCGGCAUCGAGUUCAUCGUUGACGACUUCCCCAAUCCCUCCGUCUGUAUCGCUCGGCCCCGCAAAGACGAUAAAUCCUUCGUUCCCCUGAUGAACGGUUAUCAGGUAUUUGUCUACUCCAAAGACACCAAUGUCUUCCGGAAAAUGUUAUUCGAAGAACCUGACACACUGGACUGGACACAGAAUAUCAUGUUUGCCGAUUUAUCGGAGCCUGAGCAUUUGGUACUGUUGGAAGGCGGUAAAGGCUUUCGUGGUGGUACUUUCGAUCAUCUGAUUACGAUGGAAGGCUUCCCAACGGGAGAAUACUGCUACUACUUCGAUUUACCAAACCUGGAUUUACAAUAUGAAGUGCCGGAAGGUCUUCGCCUGGGCACGUUGAACCCGGAGCACGCCGUGCAAGUUGCCCGUGAACGCAACUACGGUCACACGGCUAACAACAUUGCGUUCUUCCGCUACAUGAUGGAGAACGAAUACCCUAGCGCUGCCCUCUUCCCUGUUGGUUCGGAUUCGCCCAUCGCCUACGCCAUUUACAAGACAGAAGGCGUUGUGGGCGCCGCCUUCAUCCACCCCGACUACCGCAAGCGGGGGCUGUACCAAGUGGUGCUACGGGCGCUGCUGAAGAAAUUACGGGAUAUCGGGGAAAUCCACGUCUGGGUGGAGACGAUGAAGUUUAAUUUGGCCUCGCAAGCCGGGAUAAAGGCGGUUGGCGCUAAGGAGUACGAGGGACACACGGUGCACUGGAUCAAUUACUGGCCGGCGGGGCAUGCAUUCGACAGAGAUCCGUACAAGAAUUUCCGAUGAGGAUAUGCCGAUACAGUAAUUAGUGGCGGAUGUCAUGAUGCUUUUCGAACUGAAGAUGCAACUAAUGGUACUCGCUGUGAUCCUUCGGGAUAUCUGCCACACUGCAGCUAAGGCCCCAUCUUCCAACCGGCAACGGACUUUCACUAGUCGUCCACGUGUCCGACAGGAUGUCGUAGAUUUCCACAAAUUUCUGACUCCCUAAAGUCCUAGAAUAACCUCCCAGGACGUAGAUUUUUUCGCCGAAACAGCAGGCUGAAGAGGAAUACGACGGGCGACUCAGUGCAUCUACAGGAAUUCUUGUCCUUUCGAGAUACUAACAAAAUGUUUGAGGACCAAAGUCUUGGCUUUGUUGGCUAGCGUCGGAUUUUUGUGUGCAUCGGAAUCCGCGAAACAAUACAGCAUCAGACAGUUACUGACGUCUAUGUGAUCGUCCAUGAAUUUCCAGCAGGCAUCCA